rnacentral:rRNA from 1 species
UACGUAGGCAGCAAGCGUUGUUCGGAAUUACUGGGCGUAAAGCGAGUGUAGGCGGCCUGCCAAGUCUGUUGUGAAAUCUCCCGGCUUAACUGGGAGGGUGCGGCGGAAACUGGUGGGCUAGAGUACGAGAGGGGAGAGUGGAAUUCCUGGUGUAGCGGUGAAAUGCGUAGAUAUCAGGAGGAACACCGGUGGUGAAGACGGCUCUCUGGAUCGUGACUGACGCUGAGACUCGAAAGCGUGGGGAGCAAACAGGAUUAGAAACCCCCGUAGUCC